GGCUGAAAUUCGCCUUCAUGAAGCUGGAAUUGCUAGUAAUGGCAGGUCAGCAUACUGCCGUGAAUACGUUCCCGGGCCUUGUACACACCGCCCGUCACACCAUGAGAGUUGGGAAUACCCGAAGCCUGUGGGCUAACUGUAAGGAGGCAGCAGUCGAAGGUAGAAUCAAUGAUUGGGGUGAAGUCGUAACAAGGUACC
rnacentral:rRNA from 1 species